UCUCAUACACUCUGCAAAUAAGCUGGUAAGUGACAGGGAAGGCAGUAUGAUAAUUAGCACUGUGAUUCCCUGAGCAGCUGCUCCUUGCCAGGCAAAUUCCUAAGGGCUUUGGCUGCAUGUUGGCUUGAUCCUCAUUAACCUGUGAAAUCUGUAUGACAACCCAAGAGGUGCUGACGCUUACUAUUUCCACCCAACAUAGGAAAGAAAGUAGAGGCAAAUAAACUCAGUGAAUUGUUCAAGAUGGCACAACUAAGCUUGACAGCCUAUAAUCCUAACUUCGGAGGAGGUAGACUCAAGAGGAUUGUAAGUUCAAGGUCAAGCUGCAAAACACACUGUGAGCAAGGGACAACUGCAAACCAAGAAAGAUGGCUUUACAUAUUACGUUCUCUCACUGUGGCAUUUGGUCUAUCAAUAUCUACAUACAGUAUUCAUGGAAUCAUCAUGUUUGCUACAUGACAGAACUCAGUCAUUGCCUAGCAUAUGGUAUUUCUAUAAAAAUAAAUCUUAUAUGAUGACAUUAAUUCAGACAGCACUGGUAGGAUUUACUCAAUGCUUUAAAAGACCUACAGGAGUAUAAUCAGCUAUGUAGCUUCUCUUCACUAUGCGUGAGAGUACCUGCUAAAGGUAUCUCCUUCAUUUAUUAAGUUAAAGAUUUUUUCCUAAACACAUUAGUCUUCUACCAAAUUCUAUGUCCAACAAUUAGAGUAUUUGAGCUACUCUGCAAGCAAAGACAUUUUCCUUAAGAUUUAUCUCUGCUUUUUCUGAUGACCAGGGUAAGUCUAUUAUUUUCCCUAUGGCUUAAGAACCCAGUUAGGCAUUAAGCCACAUUUCUCUCUAAAUGCCGUACAUACACAAAAAACCCAUUAGACUCAUGCAUUAUGUUCAGAAGGAUAAUUAGAGUAAUCACAAUCUACGCACAGCCUCUGCAGAAGCAUUUUUGAUUGAAGGUGCUAGCAAUCGACUGUUUCUAUUUAGAACCAGAAAGAACAUGAACUUAUGAUUAGUGGCAGCUCUUUCGGCAAAGAAAGCCUUUGCUCUCUUGAAUACUUGAAAUGUGCCACAUGUCUGGGUAGGAGUUACUGUAUAUGCUAUGCUAAUAAUGAUCUGAGAAAUUUGGCUAUCCAUUUAAGAGGAGCAACCCUGUUGUUAUUAGUUUCUUAAUUCAUUCAAAGUUCUAUUGGCACAAAUUAAAACACAACUCUUGCUGUC
rnacentral:lncRNA from 1 species